CUUGAUGAGGAACUGUGCCAAUCCAUGAUUUUCCAGGAGCCCCACUAAUUUUGUCUUGUCCCUGUGUGGUGAGCUGAGACUUGGAGAGGAAACUUCACCCAUGUGGUCCAAACAUUAGUGGGGAGUUUGGUUAGGGAAUACCCAUUUCCUAAUGUAGCUUACUAAUCGACGCAAGAAAAAUAAAAUCACAAAGAAAUCACCUGGAUGAAGGGGAAGAAAUCAACAAAUUGAAAUCACAAGAAGUGACUUUGUGGAAUCCCAUAUGAAAGCCAGCUGGAAGAAAUAGUGGGAGCCAGGAUUUGCUUGGCAGGAUGACAUAUGGAAGAAAAAACCACUUCAGUUUAGUGAUGGUGCUUUCCUAGAGAUAAAGGACGUGGGACUUCUGACAGUAAAGG